GUGUCUAUGGAAAGGAGAGACGGUUAGCUCUCUCCUUGACAAGGAUGGACCUCAUAAAAUUGGCUAAGGCAUGACUGAACAUUUUUU